rnacentral:rRNA from 1 species
UUGGACAAUGAGCGAAAGCUUGAUCCAGCAAUAUCGCGUGUAUGCUAAGGCCCUUAUGGGUUGUAAAGUACUUUUCCAACAGAAUAAAAUCUUACCAAUAAGACUGGUAAAGCUGAAGGGGGUUGGGAAUAAGCACUGGCUAAUUACGUGCCAGCAGCCGCGGUAAUACGUAAGGUGCAAGUGUUAAUCGGAAUUAUUGGGCGUAAAGCGUGCGUAGGUGGUCUAUUGUGACAUGGGUGAAAUAUAAAGCUAUAAUCUUUAUAAGCCCAUAUUACUAGUAGUCUUGAAAAUAUAGAGGGAGGUGGAAUUCUGCAAGUAGUAGUGAAAUGCGUAGAUAUGCAGAGGAACACCAAUGGCGAAGGCAACCUCCCAGGUAAUAAUUGACACUGAGGCACUAAAGCAUGGGGAGCAA